GGAACUCUAAUCUGAAAAAAAUUGAACGUGGUAUUAGCUUAUGAAACGUAACGUUAAAAAAAAUAUAUGGUUGUCAGAACUAUUGUAAACGAUGUUUGUGGGCGUCGCCAUGUUGAAAUCCCGACUUUUUAACUAGACCGCUGUUACCUUGGGUCUAACGUCAAACGUCCGAGUUUCCACUUCUCGGGUAACUGGAGCUCAGCAUGAUUUUACUUUUUGAGAACCUCUGAGAAUAGUAGGUAAAUCUCAUACAAGUAACUGGGUGUCAAACUGAUGACAGCUGCUGCCUGUGUCUAUGUUUAAGAAAAAAAAGGUGAACAAAUGCAUGCUCUUGAGCCAAACACUCCUGGUUGAAUACUUUUUUCACAAGAGGGGAAGCAGCAGUAGUGUGCUAACCAUAAUACAACAGGACUUGGAGGAAUACUUCAGGCCUCUUGGAGCCACUGAAUCACUUUCAUUUGCUUCAUAGGGUGCUCUGCAGCUCGCAGCCUAAUAUGUCUGGUCUCCUUGGUGGAACGGAGACGGCUGAUUUCCUACAGCUCCCUGGGUAUGGUGUGGUUGGCCAGGAGCGUGCUGCGAGGCCCUGACAGCAAGACAGUGCUGGACCAAAGCUGCAGGAAGCUGUUCAGACCUGUCAGCAAAGCUGCCAAGACGAGCACAAGCUGCGAGAAGAUCUGCAGGCAAAUUCUCCUUUCAACACUUUCAGACACUGUAUCACAACUUCUCUGCUUUCUUUAUGGAAUACUAGAAUCCACGCUAACACUUAUGUGGUAUUGUGUUGAUUUGCAUAAAAUGAUUUGCCAUUUACCUCCCUUGAAUGGGCUUCAAGUUUAGCAGAUACAGUGCAGCAUUCAAAGAUGGCACAGAUCUUAGUUCUUUGUUUUCUAUCAGCAGCAUUUGGGAUAGUUUUCAACAAAAUUCUUGGUAAAAAUGGAAUUUGCAUGUCUGCAUUUUUCAAAUUUAAUUAAAAAUGGCUAAAGACAAACAAUUUUACACUUAA